GGAGAGAGGGGGAAAGAAGUGACGGUUAUUAUUGCCUGGAACCUGAGAAGGAGACCAAUUAAAGCAAUAGCUCCCCCCGCCCCCCUCUUUCCAAGGGGUUGUCUAGUCUGCUUCUUAAAUCUGAUUCCCAUUUGUCUUUAUACGGUUCUCAUUUGUUCCUCCUUCACAUCCCCUCCCCUCUCUCCACAAAAAUCUACAUGGCUCUAAAGGGCACUUCUCGGAGGAGCAGAUAAAGGGUGGCUGCUUGGAAGGAUCCGUAUCCUUCCUCUUCCCCAGGAGUCAAGUCAAAGCUGAAGGUCUGGACGGAGAGAGUGAACCUUCCCCCCUCCACCCCAAGCUGGUUUUGGAAGAAAGAAGAGCAGAGACUUGGUUACCAUUUCUUGACAGCUUUGGAAAUGCAAGCCUAAGACGACCACAUGGGGAAGAGAAACUAUUUACAGAAAGCAAAUCUGACCAGGAAUGAGCUGUUCGCCAUCCCAGAAGAGAAGCUAUUAAAAAAGGUUAGUGACUGCUGAUGGGAAAGAGAGCAGCAGGCUGAAAGAAGGGAACAUGGACUAGGAAGAAGGAUGGGAAGGACUGACUCAAACUGAAAAGGCAGUAGGAAGGUAGAAAGCUCCUGGAGAAACACACACACAAAAAACGAUGCAGAGAAAAUGCAGAUGCAGGCUGUAAGAAACCCCUGUAACAAGAAAGCCCAACCAAAAAAAGAGAAGGGAAGAGUCCAUGUGCUGGGUUCUGCAUCUGAGGUCUCCCAUUCCUCAACUCCGCUGUACUGCAGGGAGCAAAUGUUCAAUAAACAAAACUUUUGCAUCACGGUAUCACCAUGCAGCGUGGACCGCACAAGUCAUUAAUUCCUGAGGUUAAAGAAAUAACAUUGAGAUUGGGGGUUCUUUCCCCUUCGCCCAAUCCAUCCCUUCUGAAAGACUAGGCAUACCACAAUGCUCUGCUGCAGGACUAGAUUCCUCCUUCCAAUGUAUAGUUCACAAUGAUAUUGUUCUGGCUAAGAAAAAGGAGGAAGAAGGG